ensembl:lincRNA Gm12649 predicted gene 12649
AGAUCAAAUAAGACACCAGAAAAGGAUGUUGUCCAAUCUGUUGUGCUGCCUGCAGGAUAUGCAGUAUGCUUCACAUUGCAGCCUUUGUGGGCUGUCAUCUAUGCUUGGGUGAGGAUUGGAGAUGCAGCUGUCUUUGAGGCAUUGCUGCUGUUGCAUCUGUUGUUUACUGGUGUUGUCUGGAUGAUCUUGAUGACAGCAGGAGUUCUUGGGAAGACAGAGGAAAUUGUGAACCAGACAAUGCAGAGGAAAUUUCAAGAGAGGAAAGCAUUAAAAUUGCUGCUGAGAAAGCACCUGUAAUUGCUUACUUCGGUGGAUAAUUACCAUUGAAGAGAGACCUCCUUACCUACACUUGAACAAUAGGAAAGGUGCCCUGAAGGGAAAAGUAACAUCCUUAGGAGGCUCUGUCUUGUGAAACUCCAGCUUCCUUUAAACAGAGAAAGUCUACACUGACGGCAUUCCUUAAGCCUACGAGACAACUGUCUAAUAACGUGGUUCUUCAGGGUUACUAUGCUGAUACUUGGUCCAAGAGAGCUGGGCUAGAUAUUGAGCUGAUUGUGGCACGUUGAAACAUCAUCUCUGUG